rnacentral:rRNA from 1 species
UUAAGCGACUAAGCGUACACGGUGGAUGCCCUGGCAGUCAGAGGCGAUGAAGGACGUGCUAAUCUGCGAUAAGCGUCGGUAAGGUGAUAUGAACCGUUAUAACCGGCGAUUUCCGAAUGGGGAAACCCAGUGUGUUUCGACACACUAUCAUUAACUGAAUCCAUAGGUUAAUGAGGCGAACCGGGGGAACUGAAACAUCUAAGUACCCCGAGGAAAAGAAAUCAACCGAGAUUCCCCCAGUAGCGGCGAGCGAACGGGGAGCAGCCCAGAGCCUGAAUCAGUGUGUGUGUUAGUGGAAGCGUCUGGAAAGGCGCGCGAUACAGGGUGACAGCCCCGUACACAAAAAUGCACAUGCUGUGAGCUCGAUGAGUAGGGCGGGACACGUGGUAUCCUGUCUGAAUAUGGGGGGACCAUCCUCCAAGGCUAAAUACUCCUGACUGACCGAUAGUGAACCAGUACCGUGAGGGAAAGGCGAAAAGAACCCCGGCGAGGGGAGUGAAAAAGAACCUGAAACCGUGUACGUACAAGCAGUGGGAGCACGCUUAGGCGUGUGACUGCGUACCUUUUGUAUAAUGGGUCAGCGACUUAUAUUCUGUAGCAAGGUUAACCGAAUAGGGGAGCCGAAGGGAAACCGAGUCUUAACUGGGCGUUAAGUUGCAGGGUAUAGACCCGAAACCCGGUGAUCUAGCCAUGGGCAGGUUGAAGGUUGGGUAACACUAACUGGAGGACCGAACCGACUAAUGUUGAAAAAUUAGCGGAUGACUUGUGGCUGGGGGUGAAAGGCCAAUCAAACCGGGAGAUAGCUGGUUCUCCCCGAAAGCUAUUUAGGUAGCGCCUCGUGAAUUCAUCUCCGGGGGUAGAGCACUGUUUCGGCAAGGGGGUCAUCCCGACUUACCAACCCGAUGCAAACUGCGAAUACCGGAGAAUGUUAUCACGGGAGACACACGGCGGGUGCUAACGUCCGUCGUGAAGAGGGAAACAACCCAGACCGCCAGCUAAGGUCCCAAAGUCAUGGUUAAGUGGGAAACGAUGUGGGAAGGCCCAGACAGCCAGGAUGUUGGCUUAGAAGCAGCCAUCAUUUAAAGAAAGCGUAAUAGCUCACUGGUCGAGUCGGCCUGCGCGGAAGAUGUAACGGGGCUAAACCAUGCACCGAAGCUGCGGCAGCGACGCUUAUGCGUUGUUGGGUAGGGGAGCGUUCUGUAAGCCUGUGAAGGUGUGCUGUGAGGCAUGCUGGAGGUAUCAGAAGUGCGAAUGCUGACAUAAGUAACGAUAAAGCGGGUGAAAAGCCCGCUCGCCGGAAGACCAAGGGUUCCUGUCCAACGUUAAUCGGGGCAGGGUGAGUCGACCCUAAGGCGAGGCCGAAAGGCGUAGUCGAUGGGAAACAGGUUAAUAUUCCUGUACUUGGUGUUACUGCGAAGGGGGGACGGAGAAGGCUAUGUUGACCGGGCGACGGUUGUCCCGGUUUAAGCGUGUAGGCUGGUUUUCCAGGCAAAUCCGGAAAAUCAAGGCUGAGGCGUGAUGACGAGGCACUACGGUGCUGAAGCAACAAAUGCCCUGCUUCCAGGAAAAGCCUCUAAGCAUCAGGUAACAUCAAAUCGUACCCCAAACCGACACAGGUGGUCAGGUAGAGAAUACCAAGGCGCUUGAGAGAACUCGGGUGAAGGAACUAGGCAAAAUGGUGCCGUAACUUCGGGAGAAGGCACGCUGAUAUGUAGGUGAAGUCCCUCGCGGAUGGAGCUGAAAUCAGUCGAAGAUACCAGCUGGCUGCAACUGUUUAUUAAAAACACAGCACUGUGCAAACACGAAAGUGGACGUAUACGGUGUGACGCCUGCCCGGUGCCGGAAGGUUAAUUGAUGGGGUCAGCGCAAGCGAAGCUCUUGAUCGAAGCCCCGGUAAACGGCGGCCGUAACUAUAACGGUCCUAAGGUAGCGAAAUUCCUUGUCGGGUAAGUUCCGACCUGCACGAAUGGCGUAAUGAUGGCCAGGCUGUCUCCACCCGAGACUCAGUGAAAUUGAACUCGCUGUGAAGAUGCAGUGUACCCGCGGCAAGACGGAAAGACCCCGUGAACCUUUACUAUAGCUUGACACUGAACAUUGAGCCUUGAUGUGUAGGAUAGGUGGGAGGCUUAGAAGUGUGGACGCCAGUCUGCAUGGAGCCGACCUUGAAAUACCACCCUUUAAUGUUUGAUGUUCUAACGUUGACCCGUAAUCCGGGUUGCGGACAGUGUCUGGUGGGUAGUUUGACUGGGGCGGUCUCCUCCUAAAGAGUAACGGAGGAGCACGAAGGUUGGCUAAUCCUGGUCGGACAUCAGGAGGUUAGUGCAAUGGCAUAAGCCAGCUUGACUGCGAGCGUGACGGCGCGAGCAGGUGCGAAAGCAGGUCAUAGUGAUCCGGUGGUUCUGAAUGGAAGGGCCAUCGCUCAACGGAUAAAAGGUACUCCGGGGAUAACAGGCUGAUACCGCCCAAGAGUUCAUAUCGACGGCGGUGUUUGGCACCUCGAUGUCGGCUCAUCACAUCCUGGGGCUGAAGUAGGUCCCAAGGGUAUGGCUGUUCGCCAUUUAAAGUGGUACGCGAGCUGGGUUUAGAACGUCGUGAGACAGUUCGGUCCCUAUCUGCCGUGGGCGCUGGAGAACUGAGGGGGGCUGCUCCUAGUACGAGAGGACCGGAGUGGACGCAUCACUGGUGUUCGGGUUGUCAUGCCAAUGGCACUGCCCGGUAGCUAAAUGCGGAAGAGAUAAGUGCUGAAAGCAUCUAAGCACGAAACUUGCCCCGAGAUGAGUUCUCCCUGACUCCUUGAGAGUCCUGAAGGAACGUUGAAGACGACGACGUUGAUAGGCCGGGUGUGUAAGCGCAGCGAUGCGUUGAGCUAACCGGUACUAAUGAACCGUGAGGCUUAACCUU